AGCGAUAUCACGGUGAAACACUGUUUCCCGUACGAUCACAGAAGUUAAGUAAUGUCAUGCCUGAACAGUACCUGGAUGAGUGUCUUUUUAGGAAUACCAGGUUCUGUCG